rnacentral:RNase_P_RNA from 1 species
UGAGGUGGACAGACGAUCGCGGCUGCGACUUGUCGGAGUCGAGGAAAGUCCGAACACGACAGGACACGGUGGUGGGUAACGCCCACCGGCCCCCGGUCGCGGGGUCAGGGAAAGUGCCACAGAAAAUAUACGGCCGCCCCCGGAUGCUCGGAAACGGGUCUCCGGACAGGCAAAGGUGAAAUGGUGCGGUAAGAGCGCACCGCCCGGCUGGUGACAGUCGGGGCAAGGUAAACCCCACCGCGUGCAAACCCAAGCAGCCCCCCGGAAGUGGCGCAAGCCGCUUCCCGCCCGUGGUCCGCGGGGUUGGGGGCGGGUAGGGCGCUCGAGGCCGUCGGCGACGGCGGUCCCAGAUGAAUGAUCGUCACCCGCAAACGCCGUCGCGAGACGACGCGCGCGGGAACAAAAUUCGGCUUAUGUCCAUUCGCGAC